UUUCCGGUUGAUCCUGCCGCCGGCCACCGCUAUCAAGUUCCGACUAAGCCAUGCGAGUCAAGGUAUCGUAAGAUGCCGGCAAACUGCUCAGUAACACGUGGAUAAUCUAACCUUGAGUAAGGGAUAACCUCGGGAAACUGAGGAUAAUACCUUAUAAUUGCUUAAAACUGGAAUGUUUAAGCAAUAAAAGUUCCGACGCUCAAGGAUGAGUCUGCGACCUAUCAGGUAGUAGGUGGUGUAAUGGACCACCUAGCCUCAGACGGGUACGGGCCCUGGGAGGGGUAGCCCGGAGAUGGACUCUGAGACAUCAGUCCAGGCCCUACGGGGCGCAGCAGGCGCGAACACUGUGCAAUGCGCGAAAGCGCGACACGGGGAGCUUGAGUGUCUUGGCAUAGCCAAGACUUUUCUCAUUCCUAAAAAGCAUGAGGAAUAAGUGCUGGGUAAGACGGGUGCCAGCCGCCGCGGUAACACCCGCAGCACGAGUAGUGGUCACUUUUAUUGAGCCUAAAGCGUUCGUAGCCGGUUUUGUAAAUCUUCAGAUAAAGCCUGAAGCUUAACUCCAGAAAGUCUGAAGAGACUGCAAGACUUGAGAUCGGGUGAGGUUAAACGUACUUUCAGGGUAGGGGUAAAAUCCUGUAAUCCCGGAAGGACGACCAGUGGCGAAAGCGUUUAACUAGAACGAAUCUGACGGUAAGGAACGAAGGCUAGGGUAGCAAACCGGAUUAGAUACCCGGGUAGUCCUAGCUGUAAACACUGCCCAUUUGAUGUUGCUUUUCCGUUGAGGGAAGGCAGUGUCGGAGCGAAGGUGUUAAAUGGGCCGCUUGGGAAGUAUGGUCGCAAGACUGAAACUUAAAGGAAUUGGCGGGGGAGCACCGCAACGGGAGGAAUGUGCGGUUUAAUUGGAUUCAACGCCGGA
rnacentral:rRNA from 1 species